rnacentral:rRNA from 1 species
AUGGCUCUCGCCCACCAGAUCACCAACCAGCCGCUCCUCUCCUCCCCGCCGUGCCUCGCAAGAACCAACGGUAGCAAUGCGCGGACGGCGAGGACGGCGUUUCUUGGCCACAGCUGCUGCCUGAAGCUUCGGGAUACAGCGACGAGAUGCGUCGUCGCUUCGUCAGCGCAGGCGGAGCCCAAGUCCGGAGGUGGGGACGGGGAUGGAGGCCAGGAGCCGUACGAGGAGUACGAAGUGGAGAUCCUGAAGCCGUACGGGCUCAAGUUCGCCAAGGGCCGCGACGGCGGCACCUACAUCGAGGCCAUCUUCCCCGGCUCCUCCGCCGAGCAGACCGGCAAGUUCACCGUCGGCGACAAGGUUAUUGCCACCAGCGCCGUCUUUGGAGAGGAAAUCUGGCCGGCGGCAGGGUACGGCCAGACCAUGUACUGCAUCCGCCAGAGAGUUGGCCCUCUCUACAUGAAGAUGCAGAAGAAAUUUGGGAAAUGGGAUGGUGCUGCUGAGCUCUCUGACAAGGAGGUCAUCAGGGCUGAAAGGAACACCGGAAAUGUCAGCACUAAACUCAGAGAGAUUCAGAUGCAAAAUUACCAGAAGAAGAUGGAGCAGAAGAUCCAAAGAGAAGAUGACCUUCGCAUGGGGCUAAAGUUGUACAAGGAUGAAAAAUACGAGGAGGCGUUGGAGAAGUUUGAGUCGGUGCUGGGGUCAAAACCAGAGAUUGAUGAAGCUUCCGUAGCCAGCUACAAUGUCGCGUGCUGUUAUUCGAAGCUCGACCGGAUACAAGCUGGCCUUUCUGCACUUGAAGAAGCGAUGAAAGCAGGCUAUGAAGACUUCAAGAGGAUUCGCACCGACCCGGAUUUAGCAAACUUGAGGAACUCGGAGGAGUUCGCCACCCUACUAAACAAGUACGAUGAAUCAUUUAUCAACGAGAGCGCCAUCAAUGCUAUCAAAUCCAUAUUUGGAUUCGGUAAGAAGUGA